GUGGGGAAUAUUGGUCAAUGGCGGCAACGCUGAACCAGCCAAGUAGCGUGAGGGAUUACGGCCCUACGGGUCUUAAACCUCUUUUGUUGGGGAGCAACCUGUGCCACUUGUGGCACACUGCGAGUACCCUUCGAAUAAGCAUCGGCUAACUCCGUGCCAGCAGCCGCGGUAAUACGGAGGAUGCGAGCGUUAUCCGGAUUUAUUGGGUUUAAAGGGAGCGCGGACCGGAGAUUAAGUCAGCUGUUAAAUGGCGGCGCCCAACGCCGUCCUGCGGUUGAUACUGGUUUCCUUGAGUGCGGCAUGGGCAGGCGGAAUUCACGGUGUAGCGGUGAAAUGCUUAGAUAUCGUGAAGAACUCCGAUCGCGAAGGCAGCCUGCCGGACCGUUACUGACGUUUAGGCUCGAAAGUGCGGGUAUCAAACAGG
rnacentral:rRNA from 1 species